rnacentral:rRNA from 1 species
UACGGGGGGGGCUAGCGUUGUUCGGAAUUACUGGGCGUAAAGGGCUCGUAGGUGGCCAACUAAGUCAUGCGUGAAAUCCCUCGGCUUAACCGGGGAACUGCGUCUGAUACUGGAUGGCUUGAAUCCGGGAGAGGGAUGCGGAAUUCCAGGUGUAGCGGUGAAAUGCGUAGAUAUCUGGAGGAACACCUGUGGCGAAAGCGGCUCACUGGACCAUAACUGACGCUGAUGCACGAAAGCUAGGGGAGCAAACAGG